CCUACGGGAGGCAGCAGUGGGGAAUAUUGGACAAUGGGCGAAAGCCUGAUCCAGCCAUGCCGCGUGUGUGAAGAAGGUCUUCGGAUUGUAAAGCACUUUAAGUUGGGAGGAAGGGUUGUAGAUUAAUACUCUGCAAUUUUGACGUUACCGACAGAAUAAGCACCGGCUAACUCUGUGCCAGCAGCCGCGGUAAUACAGAGGGUGCAAGCGUUAAUCGGAAUUACUGGGCGUAAAGCGCGCGUAGGUGGUUUGUUAAGUUGGAUGUGAAAUCCCCGGGCUCAACCUGGGAACUGCAUCCAAAACUGGCAAGCUAGAGUAUGGUAGAGGGUGGUGGAAUUUCCUGUGUAGCGGUGAAAUGCGUAGAUAUAGGAAGGAACACCAGUGGCGAAGGCGACCACCUGGACUGAUACUGACACUGAGGUGCGAAAGCGUGGGGAGCAAACAGGAUUAGACUACCCUGGUAACUCCACGACCGUAACGACUAGUACAACUACGCGUCGGUAGCGU
rnacentral:rRNA from 1 species